AUGGAAAUGCCUACCCUUCUGACCCAGCCACUAGAGGGAUUGUUGUACCACGAAGAAGCAUGUUUCCCCCAGUGCUUUGGGAGUGAUUCUGCUCAGGGCAUUGUCUGGAAAGUAUUCAUCUUCUUUUCUGAAGAAGUGUUGGAGACAGGUCUUCAUCAGCAGCCUGAAAAUGGACUGGUAUCACAUCUUAAGGGAUUAAUAUCAGUGUUCUUGGACUGUGAGAAACAUGGGAAUGAGAAGACCUCCCAGAGUAGAAGAGACAGAUGGGCAGUUCUGUUGCUGGCACAGAAGGAUAAACUCAUCUCCUGA
rnacentral:lncRNA from 13 species